rnacentral:miRNA from 1 species
AGAUGCAUCUCCCACUCCCAG